AACAACUUUCAGCAACGGAUCUCUUGGCUCUCGCAUCGAUGAAGAACGCAGCGAAAUGCGAUAAGUAAUGUGAAUUGCAGAAUUCAGUGAAUCAUCGAAUCUUUGAACGCACCUUGCGCUCCUUGGUAUUCCGAGGAGCAUGCCUGUUUGAGUGUCAUUAAAUUCUCAA
rnacentral:rRNA from 2 species